GCCUGGUUAGCUCAAUCGGUAGAGCGUGAGACUCUUACGCAACUGUCAGAAGAUUGAUCCAAUCGCGAUCUCAAGGUCGCGGGUUCGACCCCCGCAUCGGGCU